ensembl:lncRNA
UGUUGUUACCUAGAGGUAUAUUAUAUAGUAGUCAUGGCUAUGUUGUUACCUGGAGGUAUAUUAUAUAGUAGUCAUGGCUAUGUUGUUACCUGGAGGUAUAUUAUAUAGUAGUCAUGGCUUUGUUGUUACGUAGAGGUAUAUUAUAUAGUAGUCAUGGCUAUGUUGUUACCUAGAGGUAUAUUAUAUAGUAGUCAUGGCUAUGUUGUUACCUGGAGGUAUAUUUUGAACAGUAAAUUAUUUGAAAAAUUAAAUAUAAUCACUCUUAGUACUGUACGUGUCAGUGAUACGUACAGUGUAUAAACAUGCAAAUAUUGAUGGGGUGGCUGACAAUGUCACGGAAGUGGUGGCAGGUAGUCUAGCGGUUAAGAACAUUAGCUGAAAGGUCAGUGCUUUCGAA